GAUGAAGAACGCAGCGAAAUGCGAUACUUGGUGUGAAUUGCAGAAUCCCGUGAACCAUCGAGUCUUUGAACGCAAGUUGCGCCCGAAGCCAUUAGGCCGAGGGCACGCCUGCCUGGGCGUCACACGUCGUUGCCCCCCCAUCUACUCCUUCGGGAUUGCGGGGGGCGGAUGAUGGCCUCCCGUGCGCCUCGUCGCGCGGUUGGCAUAAAUGCCAAGUCCUCGGCGACGCACGCCACGACAAUCGGUGGUUGCGAAACCUCGGUUGCCCGUCGUGUGCGGUCGUCGCGCAUCGAGGGCUCGAAAAAAUUGCCGGGCUCCGGCUCGGCUUUCAACGCGACCCCAGGUCAGGCGGGGUUACCCGCUGAAUUUAAGCAUAUCAAUAAGCGUAGGA
rnacentral:misc_RNA from 1 species